rnacentral:tRNA from 1 species
AUUUAAAUAGCUUAAGAUUAAAGCAUUUCAUUGAAGAUGAAAAAAUGAUUUAAAAAUCUUUGAAUA